rnacentral:rRNA from 1 species
GACGAACGCUGGCGGCGUGCUUAACACAUGCAAGUCGAGCGAUGAAGUUCCUUCGGGAACGGAUUAGCGGCGGACGGGUGAGUAACACGUGGGUAACCUGCCUCAUAGAGGGGAAUAGCCUUUCGAAAGGAAGAUUAAUACCCCAUAAGAUUGUAGUACCGCAUGGUAUAGCAAUUAAAGGAGUAAUCCGCUAUGAGAUGGACCCGCGUCGCAUUAGCUAGUUGGUGAGGUAACGGCUCACCAAGGCGACGAUGCGUAGCCGACCUGAGAGGGUGAUCGGCCACAUUGGGACUGAGACACGGCCCAGACUCCUACGGGAGGCAGCAGUGGGGAAUAUUGCACAAUGGGGGAAACCCUGAUGCAGCAACGCCGCGUGAGUGUUGACGGUCUUCGGAUUGUAAAACUCUGUCUUCAGGGACGAUAAUGACGGUACCUGAGGAGGAAGCCACGGCUAACUACGUGCCAGCAGCCGCCGUAA